rnacentral:lncRNA from 1 species
CCCACUCAUUUUUCAAGCUUGAAAGCCACAAAACUUCUGUCCAAAUCACAUUCAAGCUCCCUCUUUUCAACCUAAACCCUAACUCACCCAAACCCUCUUUUCUUCUUUGAACCACCCAACCAUCAUGUAAAAAUCCACAAUCUCCACACAACAAAAACAGUAGCAAACUUGUGACCUUCACUUACAUAAUCAUUCACCACCACCACAUA